rnacentral:rRNA from 1 species
UACGGGGGGGGGCAAGCGUUGUUCGGAAUUACUGGGCGUAAAGGGCUCGUAGGCGGCCAACUAAGUCGGAUGUGAAAUCCCCCAGGCUCAACUUGGGAACUGCAUCCGAUACUGGAUGGCUUGAAUUCGGGAGAGGGAUGCAGAAUUCCAGGUGUAGCGGUGAAAUGCGUAGAUAUCUGGAGGAAUACCGGUGGCGAAGGCGGCAUCCUGGACCGACAUUGACGCUGAGGAGCGAAAAGCUAGGGGAGCCAAACGGG